rnacentral:rRNA from 1 species
AGUGGGAGCCCCACCACCAAAGCGUUUCGCUUUGUGUGGUGCACAAAGAAGCGUAACGACAGCACUGAAUGACGGUUAACGGAGCGCAAGCGACGUUCAACAUACAAAGUCAAGCAGUGGAGCGCUUUGGGGUGGGGUGACUGCGUACCUUUUGUAUAAUGGGUCAGCGACUUAUAUUCUGUAGCAAGGUUAACCGAAUAGGGGAGCCGGAGGGAAACCGAGUCUUAACCGGGCGUUAAGUUGCAGGGUAUAGACCCGAAACCCGGUGAUCUAGCCAUGGGCAGGUUGAAGGUUGGGUAACACUAACUGGAGGACCGAACCGACUAAUGUUGAAAAAUUAGCGGAUGACCUGUGGCUGGGGGUGAAAGGCCAAUCAAACCGGGAGAUAGCUGGUUCUCCCCGAAAGCUAUUUAGGUAGCGCCUCGUGAAUUCAUCUCCGGGGGUAGAGCACUGUUUCGGCUAGGGGGCCAUCCCGGCUUACCAACCCGAUGCAAACUGCGAAUACCGGAGAAUGUUAUCACGGGAGACACACGGCGGGUGCUAACGUCCGUCGUGAAGAGGGAAACAACCCAGACCGCCAGCUAAGGUCCCAAAGUCAUGGUUAAGUGGGAAACGAUGUGGGAAGGCCCAGACAGCCAGGAUGUUGGCUUAGAAGCAGCCAUCAUUUAAAGAAAGCGUAAUAGCUCACUGGUCGAGUCGGCCUGCGCGGAAGAUGUAACGGGGCUAAACCAUGCACCGAAGCUGCGGCAGCGACGCUUAUGCGUUGUUGGGUAGGGGAGCGUUCUGUAAGCCUGUGAAGGUGGCCUGUGAGGGUUGCUGGAGGUAUCAGAAGUGCGAAUGCUGACAUAAGUAACGAUAAAGCGGGUGAAAAGCCCGCUCGCCGGAAGACCAAGGGUUCCUGUCCAACGUUAAUCGGGGCAGGGUGAGUCGACCCCUAAGGCGAGGCCGAAAGGCGUAGUCGAUGGGAAACGGGUUAAUAUUCCCGUACUUGGUGUUACUGCGAAGGGGGGACGGAGAAGGCUAUGUUGGCCGGGCGACGGUUGUCCCGGUUUAAGCGUGUAGGUGUGUGUUCCAGGUAAAUCCGGUU